rnacentral:misc_RNA from 1 species
UCGCGGCUUAUCACUGGCAGUCCCCUUAGAGUGCCCAACUGAAUGAUGGCAACUAAGGGCGAGGGUUGCGCUCGUUGCGGGACUUAACCCAACAUCUCACGACACGAGCUGACGACAGCCAUGCAGCACCUGUGUCCGGUCCAGCCGAACUGAAGGGUUCCAUCUCUGGUACCCGCGACCGGCAUGUCAAGAGCUGGUAAGGUUUUGCGCGUUGUUUCGAAUUAAGCCACAUACUCCACCGCUUGUGCAGGCCCCCGUCAAUUUCUUUGAGUUUUAAUCUUGCGACCGUACUCCCCAGGCGGAAUGCUUAAAGCGUUAGCUGCGCCACUAGUGAGUAAACCCACUAACGGCUGGCAUUCAUUGUUUACGGCGUGGACUAC